CCUACGUGAGGCAGCAGUGAGGAAUAUUGGUCAAUGGGCGCGAGCCUGAACCAGCCAAGUCGCGUGAGGGAAGACGGUCCUAUGGAUCGUAAACCUCUUUUGUCGGGGAGCAAAAGGCGCCACGCGUGCCGUUACGAGCGUACCCGAUGAAUAAGCAUCGGCUAACUCCGUGCCAGCAGCCGCGGUAAUACGGAGGAUCCGAGCGUUAUCCGGAUUUAUUGGGUUUAAAGGGUGCGUAGGCGGCCUUUUAAGUCAGCGGUGAAAGUCUGUGGCUCAACCAUAGAAUUGCCGUUGAAACUGGGGUGCUUGAGGAUGGUUGAGGCAGGCGGAAUGCGUGGUGUAGCGGUGAAAUGCUUAGAUAUCACGCAGAACGCCGAUUGCGAAGGCAGCCUGCCAGGCCAUGACUGACGCUGAUGCACGAAAGCGUGGGGAUCAAACAGGAUUAGAUACCCGAGUAGUC
rnacentral:rRNA from 1 species